rnacentral:siRNA from 1 species
GUAUGAUGACCCUGCAAUUGUGAC